GGCCGUCGGCCCGCUCCAUCCGCAGGCCCCGCGCAGCCGCCGUGGUGGCCAAGUACGGCGACAAGAGCGUCUACUUUGACCUCGACGACAUCGGCAACACCACCGGACAGUGGGACCUCUACGGCUCUGACGCGCCCUCGCCCUACAACCCGCUACAGGUGCCAUGAUGUUUCCAACCCAUUCAAUUCCCUGCGGUAACUAGACUUGCUAGGGUGAUCUGAUCUCUCUGCUGCAUGCGUUCUUCACGUCACCAGAGCAAGUUCUUCGAGACGUUCGCGGCUCCGUUCACCAAGAGAGGUCUGCUGCUCAAGUUCCUGCUGCUGGGCGGCGGCUCACUUCUGGCCUACGUCAGCGCGUCGGCGUCACCGGACCUCCUGCCGAUCAAGAAGGGACCUCAGGAGCCGCCGCAGCCGGGCCCGCGCGGCAAGAUCUAAGCUCAGCUUCUCCAUUUGCAUGGUCUAGUAGCUUGCUUUGUACUGCUAGCGCCGGUCGAUCCGUCGCAAUCGUCAUGGAUCAUCUCUCUAUCUUGUUGUUACGCUGUUCAUAAUUUGGUAUAUUUGCCAUUCCGCUAUUGUGUACUCUUUGGCAUACAUACAAUAAUUAAAAUGGCGUUGCGUGGCUCUCAUAUAAUUAACCUUCACAUAACCUGAAGACUCAAGUACGUAUAGUAUGGGCAACUUUAUUGUAGAUACUAUCUGGAGUCUCGAAUAUUUGUCGUCCGCUAGUUCAUAUUUAAACUAAACAACGAUAAAUAAAAAAGAACUAAGUGAGUAUAUUUUUUUGUGGGAGAAGGGUUAUCCAUUAAUACAUCCACGGUUCUGUAAAUUCCAUUUCAUGACAUGAAAAAAGGAAAAACGCAUCCAAUAGCCCAUUAUGUAAAUAUGUCUACCGUCUAUCCAUUGGACAAGUUAUAUAUUAAUGACUAGUUUGGUAACCUCAUUUUUUUAAGGAUUUUCGUUUUUUAAGCGAAAUUAGUUCAUUUUACCUUGGCAAAUAGAAAUUUUUUAGAAAAAAAUGGUGUUCUCAAACUAGCCUUAAAUUUUUUUAGAAAUGAGAAUAUUAUUAAUAUUCCAUCUUCCAGGGGCGGAUUUGGGCCUCGGGCCACCUGGGCCGUGGCCCAGGGCGCAGCCCAAAAACCCUCUUAUAUAUAGGUCUUUUUUCAACCAAAAAAUCUAGACCAAAAUACAUUUCAGCCUAAAAGAUCUCCUGCUGCACCGAUUGAGUCUGGUGGCGCUGGCGGCCUCCCUCAGUCGCUCAAGCCACGAGAACACACUCUUUCAAUUAUUUCGCAAACAUGCGCAGCUGCGUUUCCUAUGUUGCCAGCGGCGCGGCCGCCUCCAUUCAGUCCUCUAUCGCUCUCCACGCCUUCAGGCUCUACGAAUCCGAUAAGGGAACAAGGCAGCAACCUCUAAGGCAGCCGGGCGGGCUCUGACUCAGGCAUCCGCCACCGCCAGUCCGCCUCCAACGUCCCUGCGAACCUGUAGCAAUGACGCGUGCGGUCCGCACUAGCACCAUGCCACCGCCCAAAUCCGCCCUGCCAAUACAUCUCCCAAACUAUACAACUUCCUCAACCUAUUUUCCUUACUUUUCUUACCCAUGGGCGAGGGCGGAGCGCCUCCCUGGCCAAUGGGCAGUGACCACCUAAGCAGCGAGCGUUGUGUGUUGAGUGUUGACUGCCAUGUGCCCGUGAUUCUCCUCUAUUGUGAGUAAUUGUUCUCAAAUGUCUGAUUCUCUUUCUCUAUCUGCCACAGUUCCACUGGAUUGUUUUAAAUAUUACUACCCAUAAAGUGUGAAAAAAUAAAAGACGAGUAGUACAUCGUUAUAUUUGUAGAGUGGCCUGGGACGUUAUUUUUAUGGAGCUCUGCCACUGCCAUCUUCUGUAUCGGUUGAUACAUUCGGCUGUCAAACUCACAAACAUGGGGUUCCACAUUAGAACAAAAUCUCACAUUCUACGAAGGUUUCAUAAAUUUAAGCUCUCAAACUAUGCUCUCAAUCUAUGAAAAAAAGACCAUCCAUUAUUUGAAAAGAUCUCCAUCAUUGUUGUUUCAAGCACACGACGGCCCCAUUUUACUUGAGGUCUGUCCUCCUCCUUCUGCAACAGUGUCCAGAACCUUGUCCAAUGUGUUCCUCUGAAAGUGACUUGAAAGGGAGUGGAAACUUGUACAUUAUCAAAAAACCACAUCAUUAUGACUUAACCAUAUAGCCCAACAGAGGGCACAUGCUCCAACCCAAAUCAGGCUCUUAAGUCUAGAAUUUAAACCUUUUAGCCAAGUGCCAAACAUAUGUUGGAUGCACGAAGGUGGAGUAAUGUUAAAUGAAAUUUGUACAGCUCUCCAAACACAUCUAGCCAUAUGACAGUCAAAGAAAAGGUGUUGAAUGGAUUCAUCUAAGUUACAUCCACAACAUUUAACACUUUCUUUCCACUGUUUUUUUGCUAAAUUAUCCUUUGUUAGAACUAUGCCUUUAACUAAGUACCACAUAAAACUUUUAAUCUUCAAAGGUAGCUUUAAAUCCCAGAUGCGGUGGUUUCUCGAAACAAUGUUCGGGGCGACUAAAGCCCUAUACAUAGAGCUGACCAUAAACUGACCUUGCUGGAGAAGAUCCCAAACAAACGUGUCUCUUCGAUCAGCUAGACUAAUAGUAAAUACUCUAGCUACUGCCUGAUUCAAAGCAGCUAGAUUAUUUACAUUAAGUGACCGACGAAAAGCCACAUUAAGUUGAUUAUGUUGAAGAACAUUAGCUAUUGUUGCCUUUUUCUUUCUCACAAUGUUGUACAGAUCUGGAAAUUGGUCUUUCAAAGGGACAGACCCCAACCAUCUAUCUUCCCAGAACUGAAUUUGUGUACCAUCCCCUAACACAAAAUGACCCAUUCUCAUAAAGUCCUGUUUUACCGCCAUAAGUCCGGAUCAAAAGUGAGAAUCACCGGGCCUGUGUUCUACUUGGGUUAUUGUUUUAUUUUUUAGGUACUUAUUUUGAAGGAGACUUUGCCAGAUACCUUGUUCGUUAAUGAGUCUAAAAAGCCAUUUACUUAGAAGACAUCUAUUUUGUAACCUCGGAUCUAGGAUGCCAAGACCCCCUAAAGCCUUGGGUGUGCACAAAACACUCCAUUUAGUUAGCCUAUAUUUCUUUUUGAGUCCCCCACCUUCCCAGAAGAAACGAGACCUAAACUGGUCCAAAUGUUUUAGGACUUCCCGUGGAACUUCGAAAAAAGAGAACAUGAACAUAGCUAAGCUACUAAGUAUCGAGUUAAUCAGCACCAGGCGACCGCCGACUGAGAGAAGUUUACCUUUCCAUCCACUUAGUUUUUUCUGAAACCUUUCUUCGAUUACCCUCCAUUCUGUAUUACUCGAUUUUCUGUGGUGUAUCGGAAUACCUAGAUAUUUGAAUGGAAAGCUCCCCACGCCACACCCAAAAAUGUCAGAGUAUUCUAAUUCUAACCCUUUGGCAGCACCAUAGCAGAAAAAUUUGCUUUUAUGGAAGUUAAUUUUUAGGCCUAAAAGUUGCUCAAAUGCACAUAGCACUAGCUUCAUGUUGUUAGCCCUUUCUAAAUCAUCUUCCAUGAAGAUAAUCGUAUCAUUUGCGUAUUGGAGUAUUGAAAGUCCUCCAUCUACCAGGUGUGGUAUAACACCAACAACUUGCCCCAAGUCCUUGGCUCGAUUUAUGAGAAUGGCAAGCAUGUCGACCACUAAAUUAAAAAGAAUAGGUGACAGAGGGUCUCCCUGUCGAACUCCUUUUUUGGUCUGAAAAUAAUGGUCAUAAUCAUCGUUAACUUUUAUUGAAACACUUUCUUUUUCCACCACCUGUUGCAUCCACUUACACUAGGUUUGAGAAAAACCUUUCAUCCGUAACACUUGUUGUAU
rnacentral:lncRNA from 1 species